rnacentral:lncRNA from 1 species
CGAGUAGCUGUGGCUACAGGUUCCCACCACCACACCCAGCUAAUUUUUUGUAUUUUUAGUAGAGACGCAGUUUCACUGUGUUAGCCAGGAUGGUCUUGAUCUUCUGACCUCCUGAUCCACCUGCCUCAGCCUCCCAAAGAGCUGGGAUUACAGGUGUGAGCCACCGUGCUCGGCCACACCAGCACCAUUUCUUGAAGAGAUUAUUUUCCUCCAAAGAAUGACCUUGACAGAGCUGCGAAGGUCUGCUGUGGCUUUGCUCCAGAAGUUAGCGAGACUGUGAACCACCAGAGGAACAAACGACUCUGGAUGCGCCACCUGUAAGAGCUGUAACAGUCACUGCGAAGGUCCGCUGCUUUGCUCCUGAAGUCAGCAAGACCACGAACCCAUGGGAAGGAAGAAACUCCAGACAGCAUAUUUAAGAACUGUAACACUCACUGGGGUGGCUUCAUUCUUGAAGUCAGAGAGACCAGGAACCUGCCGGAAGGAACCAGUUCCGGACACAGUAUCGCUCUUAUGCCUUUGCAUCCUCAUGGCUUAGCUCCCACUUAUGAGUGAGAACACACAAUGUUUGGUUUUCUAUUCCUGAGUUACUUCACUUAGAAUAAUAGUCUCCGGUUCCAUCCAGGUUGCUGCAAAUGCCAUUAAUUCAUUCCUUUUUUUAUGGCAGAGUAGUAGUCUUUUUUUUUCUUUUGAGACCGAGUCUUGCUCUGUUGCCCAGGUUGGAGUGCAGUGGCACGAUCUUGGCUCACUGCAAAGCUCCACCUCCCAGUUCACACCAUUCUCCUGCCUCAGUCUCCCAAGUAGCUGGGACUACAGGCGCCCGCCACCUUGCCUGGCUAAUUUUUUGUAUAUUUAGUAGAGUUGGGGCUUCACCCUGUUAGCCAGGCUGGUCUCUAUAUCCUGACCAUGGCUGACUAGUAUUCUUGUGUGUGUGUGUGUGUGUGUGUGUGUGUGUGUGUAUACACCACAAUUUCUUUAUCCACUUGUUGAUUGGUGGGCAUUUGGGCUGGUUCCAUAUUUUCGGAAUUGUGAAUUGUGCUGCUAUAAACAUGCAUGUAGAAGUAUGUUUUUCGUAUAGUCACUUCUUUUCCUCUGGGUAGAUACCCACUAGUGCGAUUGCUGAAUCAAUCUACUUUUAGUUCUUUAAGGAAUCUCCACACUGUUUUCCGUAGUGGUUGUACUAGUUUACAUUCCCACCAGCAGUGUAGAUGUGUUCCAUAAUCACCACGUCUAUGCCAAC